GGGUAAGGAUGGAGUAGAGUGGGAACCGUUGGAGGUAGAGUAGUGAGAGUAAAGGUUAAGAAGAGGAAGCAUGAGGAGUCUUUGGAGUUCUUGUCGGAGGAGAGUUGCGAUGAGGCAUUUUCAGUUCGCAGUGUUGUACUGAGAUAAGUGGAGUUCAUGGUGUUGGUGAAAUUUAAGGACGAGGAUGGGGUCACUGCGGUGAGUCUGAUCAAGUUGACCAGGGGAUUUGGAGAGAAAAGUAGGAGAGGUUGAUUCUGCUAAAGUUCUUCGUAUGAGAAGGCUCACAAACUCAAGCAGAAGUGGCCUGCUAUGACAAGACUGCUGAGGCAACGACUACUGCAUCAGAACACCACGAUGCUGACGCGACCAACGCUCCAAUGCCAAACAGCUAUGGACUCUAGUGGUGUACACCGGUGUUGGUAGUGAUCUUGACUCCAGACGCCUGUUAACAAAGAUCCUGAAUAUGGCGAGGGCAACUCAAGUAGCUGUCAGUCCAAACAUUAGGCUUGGACUGCGGCAGGUUCCUGCCAAUGCCCUGAACUGCCUUGAUUUAUUUACUGUCAUUCACUCGAGGUACUAGGAAAGGUGUUUGCUUAUCUAAAAGCUGAGCUUGGGCAAAUCCCUUGGGUUGACAAAGAUCCUGAACAUGAAGCUGAACACCUACUUAUUGAGAUGUAUCAUAGUAAAACUCUACCAAAGAACAA